rnacentral:tRNA from 2 species
GUGCCCGUAGCUCAGCUGGAUAGAGUAUCGGUUUCCGAAACCGAGGGUCGCGUGUUCGACUCACGCCGGGCGCACCA